CAGAAUGGCCUCUUAUGAUAAUAAAAUCCCUCCAUCAAACCAAGAUGCAACAUUUUCGGGAAGUAUAGAGUGCAAUGGUGGAGAGAAAAACGUAUCUCAAUGUUCCAUUACUACUUCUACCAAAAAAUGUUCUGAUAUUUUUUACAUAAAAUGUAAGUUUUACACAUAAAGAAUACACGAACGGGACAAAGCAGAGAAGAUAAAGAACGUAACAUUUAAUUCUAAUGUUUUAGGUUUUAUUUGUGACAGACCUCUGUUAGGUGGUAAACAAAGAUUUCCAGAUUCGUCAUUCACUGCCUCAGAUUCUUCAGGACACAGUCCGUCUGACGCAAUAAUAUCUAGUGACAGUUCUUGGUGUGCUCCUGUCUCAGAUGGCAGACAAUACAGACAUUAUCUUCAACUGGACUUAGGAAGGCUUUAUGUGAUAUAUUAUUUUAUAACUUUUGGUGAUAGUACUAGCCCAAAAUGGGUGACGACAUAUAACUUGAAUUACACUAUUGAUUUGAUAAACUGGAGAUCAAUUUGGAACCAACCGGUAAUAGCUAUACAUUAUUUUGCAGACAAAAAAUU